AUGCUCAUCCACAAAGGAGCCUCUUUCUCUUUUCUUCCUCACGAAAGCUCUCUCACCCCUCUCCUCAUGGCGCCUCCUUCCCUCCACCCCCUUAUUCUCCCCUUCGCCCCUGAUCUCUCCCUUGAGCACCACACCCACCCCCAUUUCCUAGGGAUAUAUGGACCUGAUCUUGGGCAAGAAGUGGAGACAAGAAGAGGAGGAGAAGAAGAAAGAGAAGAUCCCCACCUCCCUGAUUCCCCUUGCUCAAGCCUCAAGGGUACAUCACCGUGCGGCUUUGCAAGUACUCCCUCCAUCCGGGUUUAUUAG
rnacentral:rRNA from 1 species